AAUCUCCACAACGGAUAUCUAAGCUCUCACAUUGAUGAAGAAUGUAGCGAAAUGUGAUACUUGGUGUGAAUUGCCGAAUCCCGUGAACCAUCGAGUCUUUGAACACAAGUUGUGACCCAAGCCAUUAGGCUAAGAGCACAUUUGCCUGGGUGUCAUGCACCGUCACCCCCCUCUGACCCUCAGCCCAUUGGGCUCCGAGGGAAGGGGGUAGGUUAAAGAUGGCAUCCCACGAUCUCGUCAGUCACGAUUGGCCCAAAAAUGAGUCCUUGACAGCGAUAGUGUUGUGGCCGUCGGUGGUAGAGCUCUUAGCAUGCCUCGUCCCUGGAGACGCAUGCUCGUUGUCCACUCGGACCCCCCGCAUCGCUUGAUCGAUGCUCGUGUCAUAACCUCAGGUCAGGUGGGAUCACCCAUUGAGUUUAAGCAUAUCAAUAACCGAAGGAAAAAAAACUUACCAGGAUUCUCUUAGUAACAACGAGUGAACCGAAAAGAGCCCAGCUUAAGAAUCGAGCACCCCUGGCAUCCGUAUUGUAGUCUGGAGAAGCAUCCUCAUUAGUGGACCGAGCCCAAGUCACCUGGAAAGAGGUGUCAAAGAGGGUGAGAGCCCUGUUGUGCCUGGACCCUAUCGUACCAUGAAGCAUUGUCUGCGAGUCAGGUUUUUUGGGAAUGCAGCCCCAAUCAAGUGGUAGAUUUCAUCCAAGGCUAAAUAUGGAGAGAGAUCGAUUGCAAACAAGUAUCGUGAGGGAAAGAUGAAAAGGACUUUGAAAAGAGAGUCAAAGAGUGCUUGAAAUUGUCGGGAGGGAAACAGAUGGAGGUCGACGAUGCACCCCAGUCGGAUGUGGAACGGCAAGAACUGGUCCGCUGAUCGGCUAGGGUCGUGGACCGACAUAGGUAGCGACAGUGACCUAAGCUCGAGCUUUUGAUGUGCUCGUAGGGACUUCAUUACCGUGAUCAUGGAAAGUAUCAAGCACCGUCUCGAUGUGCCACGGCACCAGCGUGCUCCCGGUGUCAGCCUGCAAGCUCACCAUCCGACCCAUCUUGAAACACAAACCAAAGAGUCUGACAUGCAUGUGAGUCAACGAGCCAGAAAACCCGAUAAGGUGCAAGGAAGCUGAUUGCAGGAUCUCUCACGGGUGUACCACCGAUCAACCUUGAUCUUCUGAAAAGGGUUCAAGUGCGAGAAUGCCCGUCGGGACCCGAAAGAUGGUGAACUAUGCCUGAGUGGGGUGAAGCCAAAGAAAACUCUGGUGGAGGCCCACAGUGAUACUGACAUGCAAAUCGUUCAUCUGACUUGGGUAUAAGGGUGAAAGACUAAUCGAACCAUCUAGUAGCUAGUUCCCUCUGAAGUUUCCCUUAGGAUAGUUAAAGCCCCUGAUGAGUUCUAUCUGGUAAAGCCAAUGAUUAGAGGCAUUGGGAGCGUAAUGCCCUCGACCUAUUCUCAAACUUUAAAUAGGUAGGAUGACGCAGCUGCUUCAUUGAGCGGUGCCAUGGAAUCAAGAGCUCCAAGUGAGCCAUUUUUGGUAAGUAGAACUAGCGAUGCAAGAUGAACUAAAAGUCAGGUUACGGUGCCCAACUGCACACUAAUCCAGAACCCACAAAGGGUGUUGGUCGAUUAAGACAACAGGACGGUGGUCAUGGAAGUCAAAAUCCACUAAAGAGUGUGUAACAACUCACUUGCCAAAUCAACUAGCCCCGAAAAUGGAUGGCGCUUAAGCGCACGACCUAUACCUGAUCGUCAAGGCAAGGGCCAAGCCCCGAUGAGUAGGACGGCGUGGUGGUCAUCGUAAAACCCAGGGCGCAAGCCCAGGAGAAGCGACUGUCAGUGUAGAUCUUGGUGGUAGUAGCAAAUAUUCUAAUGAAAACUUUGAAGGUCGUAGAAGGGAAAGGUUCCAUGUGAACGGCACUUACACAUGGGUUAGUCGAUCCUAAGAGACGGGGGAAGCCCGUCCGAUAGUGCGUCUCAUGCGAGCUUUAAAAAGAAAUCAGGUUAAAAUUCUUAAAUUGAGACGCGACGACUGAAGGCAACGUUAGGGAGUCUGGAGACGUCUGUAGGGGCCUCAGAAAGAGUUAUCUUUUUUGUUUAAUGGCCCACCCACCCUAGAAAUGGCUCAGUCGGAGGUACUUGCCUCGAGCACCAUCGACAUAUGCAUGCCUCGAUGAGCAUCGGUAGAAGAUGGCCCUUGGUGCAGGCGGUUGCCUCGAGCACCAUCGACACGUGUUAGGCCUUGGUGCGGGCACAUGCCUCGACCACCAUCGUCACAAGCUGGCCAUUGGUACAGGCACUUGCCUGGACCACCAUUGGAAUAUGCCAUGCCUUGAUAAGCAUCGAUAGAAGAUGGUCCCUGCUACGUGCGGUUGCCUCGAACACCAUCGACACAUGCUGGGCCUUAGUACGGGCAGAUGCCUUGACCACCAUCGAUGCAUGCAUGCCUCAAUCAGCAUGCACACAAGCUGGAAUCGAUGCGAGCACCUGCCUCGAUCAGCAUCGAUAGAAGAUGGCCCUUGGUGCAGGUAGUCCCAUCGAACACCAUCGGCACGCGCUAGCCCUUGGUGUGGGCACAUGUCUCGACCACCAUCGGCACCUACUCACUCUCAGUGCGGGAUAUGCUUGUGUUGGAAAAAGUGUCCCCAUUUCAGAUACUUUAACAUCUACUAGUAGCAUAUCUAUAAAAUCUCUAAUGCUCUUUAUGGGGUGGUGGUCCGGCACCCCCUCCCCCUCACGGGGGAGUAGGUGUGCAUGAUGGGCCUCCUAUUGCGUACACCCAAGGUAACGUCCCUAGAGUGAAAUACAAGGCAUGCAUGCUUUCUGGCUAUUUUGUACGAUGACCGGUUGCUUCGGUGACCAGCAGACGCCCAUGGCCUUAACUGUUGGCGUGUAUACGAAAAAGGGAAGUCGAGCUCGAGCCCGUGCAUGUGGCGGAUGCUACCCUAGACCAUAGACCAAGUCCUUAAAUUGGGCAAUGGCUCCCUGGGGUGGUGUGAGUAGAAGCUGCAAUUGUGGGCUUGGCUCAGCCAAGUCUCUUGGUAUUUGACGGUCUCACGAUGCCUUCUUGUCAACCACAAAAAUGCCUUGGCCUUGACGAGGCCAUGCAUGCAACCAAUGCUACCCAAGACCCUAGGAACAAGUCUCUGAAUCAGGCAACGUCCCCCUGGGGUGGUGUCAACGGAGCUCAUGCAUGCAAUCCCGGCCAGGCCAAGCAUUGGUGGUAUCAUGCCGUUGUUACCGAUCGGAUGGCAAGGGCAGUCUCAUGGCCCUUGCUUGUGUUUUUCUCAUGCCAAGUAGUUGUGGCAUGGCCUCGCACAUCGUUUCUUUUGCUCAUACAUUGAGUAAUCGAUCGGGUGGGUUGUGGAUCAACGCGUAUGGAUGUUACCACUUGUAUGCAUGGCGUAUGAGUGG
rnacentral:rRNA from 1 species